CCUGAUGCAGCGACGCCGCGUGAGGGAUGACGGCCUUCGGGUUGUAAACCUCUUUCAGUAGGGAAGAAGCGAAAGUGACGGUACCUGCAGAAGAAGCGCCGGCUAACUACGUGCCAGCAGCCGCGGUAAUACGUAGGGCGCAAGCGUUAUCCGGAAUUAUUGGGCGUAAAGAGCUCGUAGGCGGUUUGUCGCGUCUGCCGUGAAAGUCCGGGGCUCAACUCCGGAUCUGCGGUGGGUACGGGCAGACUAGAGUGAUGUAGGGGAGACUGGAAUUCCUGGUGUAGCGGUGAAAUGCGCAGAUAUCAGGAGGAACACCGAUGGCGAAGGCAGGUCUCUGGGCAUUAACUGACGCUGAGGAGCGAAAGCAUGGGGAGCGAACAGGAUUAGAUACCCUGGUAGUCCAUGCCGUAAACGUUGGGCACUAGGUGUGGGGGACAUUCCACGUUUUCCGCGCCGUAGCUAACGCAUUAAGUGCCCCGCCUGGGGAGUACGGCCGCAAGGCUAAAACUCAAAGGAAUUGACGGGGGCCCGCACAAGCGGCGGAGCAUGCGGAUUAAUUCGAUGCAACGCGAAGAACCUUACCAAGGCUUGACAUGAACCGGAAAUACCUGGAAACAGGUGCCCCGCUUGCGGUCG
rnacentral:rRNA from 1 species